rnacentral:sRNA from 1 species
UUUUUAAAUCAAUCAAAAAUUAAUUUACAAUAACAAAUAACUUUAUUUAUCACAUAUAUAUACUCAAUACACAUCUAUAUCUAUAGAUUGGAAACACUUGGUGGACAAAGCAGCGAUGGUAGGCGGAGAACAACACCAUGGCGCCGGCGGAGGAUUAGAGAUGUGUUGGUGUUUUGGUUGUAACCUGUCGGAAGCUUUGAGAUUCAAGAACCAAAGCGGAAUCAAGGAAAGAAGAGAUAAUGGAAGCAGUGAGCUUCCGUCAUAGUCCUUGGUAUAAGUUUCAGUAUCGAUCAGAGCUGCAAUCUCCUUCAAAUCUGGGCAAGAAAGCAUUCUAAGUAAUUUAAUUUCGAAACACAUAAAAUAAACAUAGUAGCAAUUUGUAGACUUAGACAAAACUAAGCCAUGCAAAUGGAAAUUUACCCUAUAGCGUUGAGGUAGGAGUAGAGACGAUAGAUUGAGUUAAGGUUUGAUUAUCUUUCAUCUCCAAAGUCUGGUACAAGACCCGAUAUCUAUCAGCUACAAUAUCUUUUAAAUCUGGGAAAAUAUGCAUUCUAUUGAGAUUUGAUUUGUUG